UACGGGGGAUGCAAGUGUUAUCCGGAAUAAUUGGGCGUAAAGCGCCUGUAGGUGGUUGACCAAGUCUGUUGUUAAAAAUCAGGGCUUAACCCUGAUCCGGCAACAGAAACUAGUAAACUUGAGUACGGUAGGGGCAGAGGGAAUUCUCGGUGUAGUGGUGAAAUACGUAGAUAUCGAGAAGAACACCAAUAGCGAAAGCACUCUGCUGGGCCGAAACUGACAUUGAGAGACGAAAGCUAGGGGAGCAAAAGGG
rnacentral:rRNA from 1 species